rnacentral:tRNA from 1 species
GCGGCCGUAGUCUAGCCUGGAUUAGGACGCCGGCCUUCCAAGCCGGUGAUCCCGGGUUCAAAUCCCGGCGGCCGUA